UCCUCUCACCACCACUCUCACUCUACCCAGUGAUGGCUGCUUAUGGAGCUGCCGUUUCUCUCAAGAACACAAUUCAGAGUCUUCUAGAAUCGUCUCGCAUCUCGCUGGUUCCUCCCUCUCCUGAUAUCUUACGAUCUGCAUAUGAUGCUAUGUGUUGCUUGCACAACGUUCUGAGCAAAUUGGACGAGACAGGCUACAGCAAGAUCAGGACGAAGGUGAACGCUUUUGAUGAACAAAUCAAAGACGCCAUAUGGGAAUUCGAAGAUUUACUCGAAUCGCACUACACUGAUCAGAUUCUUCCACAGCUUGAAAGCGAGAGAGAUCGCUUGCCUUUCUCUGUAGAUCUGCAGAGUCUGUGGCAGAGUGUUGAUCGCUUCAUCGAGAGGAUGGCUGUGAUGGAGGCAGAGUACGAUAUGGAGCUGGUGAAUAUGCCGGAAGAAGAAGGUGAACCUCUUUCCUCGAGAAUUGAUUUUGGAGGAAUUAACUCAGAGAUGGUUAAAUUGUCUAAGCAAUUUGAAGAAGUGAGGGAUUAUAUUCUUGCAAAAGCAGAACGAGAAGGUAAAUAUGCUAGAGUUAAUUGUUUAUUAUUAACUGGGAUGGCAGGGGUUGGAAAGACUACUCUUGUUAAGAAAGUAUUUGAUGAUCCCUCGAUUCAGACACAUUUCGAGCUUCGAGCAUGGGUCAAAGUAGGCAGAAAAUGUGAAUCCAACGAAACAUUACGAUGCAUUCUAGCUCAAGUGGAUCCCAGCAAUCGCGACCAAAUGCUAACCCAAAGAGACGAUGAUGAUAUCAAGAAAUUAGUUGGACUCUUGGAAGAGAGAUUGAAGGAUAAGAAAUGUCUCAUUGUGUUGGAUGAUGUAUGGCAAUGGGACACACGACUCAUGAGUACCUUGCAAGAAAAGAAUGUCCAAAUUUUGGUUACAAGCAGGCUGAGAAUUAAAGAUUCUCCAAGUUAUUGUGAUGUAAGAUUGUUGGAUAAAGAAGAAAGUAAGAGAUUACUUGGUGAGAAGGUAUUCGGUGAUAAAGGUUUCCCACCUUACCUUGAGGAAUUAGGAGAAAAGAUUGCACAAAAAUGUGAAGGUCUUCCACUUAUGAUAGUUACAGUUGCAGAUCUCCUAAGAAAAGCCAACAAGGGUACUGGGGAAGAGAUUGACAAAUGUACCCAAGAAUAUUGGACUGAGGUAGCCGAAAAACAACAAAGUUCAGUGUUUGUGGAUGCAUAUAAUCAAAUAUCAAAGGUAUUUUUCCCAAGCUAUGACUACUUACCACAAAUUUGGAAAAUGCUUUUUCUCUAUUUGGGAGCUUUCCUCCCAUAUACGAAUAUUGAUCCACAUGAUAUCAUGUGUUAUGUGAGUGCUGAGGGGUUUUGCGAACAAAUUGGGAAAAAAAAAUUGGAUGAUGAGGUUAUGGAUGGAUUGACGACUAGGGAAUUUUUUGUUUCCCAUACCCUGACAGAGCUUUCCUAUAAUUAUCAUCUUCUUCUAUAUGAUUUUGAUCCAGUAUCUUGGUUUUCAAAUAAAAAAUGUCGCUUGUGUAAGAAAGAAGCUAGUAAAAUCAAGUUUUUGCAUGUCUUACAAAGUUGCUAUGAAGAUAUGAAAGGACAGCGUCGGUUGUGUGCCCAUUCCAACACUUUAUUUGCUAUCAAAGAAGUCUAUGAUUCAAUAAAAAGUGAUUGUUCCUCCACAGUUCGUUCUCUCCUUUGUCAUGGUCCUAGCCACCCUUAUCCAGUGCCAAUACAUGCCAUGGAUUUUAAAUUGCUCAGGGUACUGAAUGCUCGUAAGGUACGAUUUUAUGAUAUCCCACCUGAAAUUCUAAAACUAGUUUGUCUAAAGUAUUUAGCCAUAAGUUGCAACAAAGAGCUCCCUGGUUCAAUUUCCACCCUUUUGCACCUUCAAUUCUUGAUUAUCAUUCGAUAUGUGGCCAUUAUAAAGCGUGGAGCUCUGCCAUAUAUGCCAUUGGAAAUAUGGAACAUGCAAAACCUACAACAUCUUAAUGUCAUGGGAAGAGACCUGCCAACCCCCAAUUCUAACUCCAAUGCUAUUUUGGACCGAGUCUCUUUUCUUAUAGGCGUGACUACAAAGAGUUGCACUAUGGAAAUUCUUAAAAGAAUCCCAAAUUUAAGGAGUUUAUCCAUGAUUAUGAUACAGAAGCCUUAUGAUGAAGACGAUGAUAGCAAUUCAUUGAGUGGCUUGGAUCAUAUCUCAAAGGAACUCCAGAAUUUGAAUAUUCUUUCAAUUGAUGUAUUGAACCCUGAUAUGAAGUGGGAGACUAUGGUUCCUCUUUCAAUGUUCCCAUCAAGUCUAACAACAUUGAAUUGACUGGUUUAGGGUAUCCUUGGCAGUACAUGAACGAGAUUGGUUUGAUGCUACCAAAUCUUAGGUACCUCGUACUAAAAGAGUAUGCCUUUCGAGGCCCAAAGUGGGAUCUAGAAUCAAGUUGUUUUUUGAAACUUAUGAAACUUGUAAUUGAAGACACUGAUUUGGUGGAAUUAAAAGCUCAACAAGGAAGCCUCCCUUGGCUUAAGCUCGUAAGUCUACGAUAUUGCUACAAAUUAAAACAUCUCGAUAGGUUGUGCUGUAACACAGGGGUAACACCUGUAAUUGAAUUAGUAGAUUGCAAUCCCUUAGUUUAUGCAUUUGUCGAGAAAUUUUCAGAAUCUUACAAUGUAAUAGUUCGUAGCCACCGUUCUUAUUUGUGAUGAGUACUCUCAACUUGGUUAACAGGCACAUGAGAAAAAAUAAUGGGUCAGAUGUCGCAUUAUCCCAUCAUUUCAAGUGAAUUGUGAUGUUGUUUCCUGAAUUCAAGGAUAGUAAUUUGUUGGAUUCUGUUUAGAAUUGUGAAACCUGAAUGUUGAAUUAUGUUUGUAACCAAAACUAUUGUCAGCUUAAAUUUCUGUUAAAACAUUACUUGCUUUUUUCCCACAUUCAA